rnacentral:rRNA from 1 species
GUGAGGAAUAUUGGUCAAUGGGCGCAAGCCUGAACCAGCCAUGCCGCGUGCAGGAAGACGGUCCUAUGGGUUGUAAACUGCUUUUAUUUGGGAAUAAACUCCGGUACGUGUACCGGCCUGAAGGUACCAAAUGAAUAAGCACCGGCUAACUCCGUGCCAGCAGCCGCGGUAAUACGGAGGGUGCAAGCGUUAUCCGGAAUCAUUGGGUUUAAAGGGUCCGCAGGCGGUCUUAUAAGUCAGUGGUGAAAGCCUACAGCUCAACUGUAGAACUGCCAUUGAUACUGUAGGACUUGAAUUCGAUCGAAGUGGGCGGAAUGUGACAUGUAGCGGUGAAAUGCUUAGAUAUGUCACAGAACACCGAUAGCGAAGGCAGCUCACUAGGUCUGGAUUGACGCUCAGGGACGAAAGCGUGGGGAGCAAACAGGAUUAGAAACCCGUGUAGUCC